GAUGAACGCUAGCGAUAGGCCUAACACAUGCAAGUCGAGGGGCAUCACAUGAAGUAGCAAUACGGAUGGUGGCGACCGGCGCACGGGUGAGUAACACGUAUGCAACCUGCCUUCAACAAGGGGAUAACCCGUUGAAAGACGGACUAAUACCCUAUAACACAGGGGUCCCGCAUGGGGAUAUUUGUUAAAGGACAACCGGUUGAAGAUGGGCAUGCGUUCCAUUAGCUAGUUGGCGGGUAAGGGCCCACCAAGGCAACGAUGGAUAGGGGGAACUGAGAGGUUUAUCCCCCACACUGGUACUGAGACACGGACCAGACUCCUACGGGAGGCAGCAGUGAGGAAUAUUGGUCAAUGGACGCAAGUCUGAACCAGCCACGUCGCGUGAAGGAAGACGGCCCUACGGGUUGUAAACUUCUUUUAUACGGGAAUAAAGUGCCCCACGCGUGGGGUUUUGCAUGUACCGUAUGAAUAAGGAUCGG
rnacentral:rRNA from 1 species